rnacentral:lncRNA from 1 species
ACCAAUUUCAAUUUCAACCAAAAUGCCAUUUCAAAUAUACAUUUCCAACAUAUUUCAUCAUUCACAUAUUCAUUUGUAAUUCAUAUUUAUACAUACCAUGUUUGAUACUUAUGCAACUUCAAAACAGUAUCGAAUGGACAUUUACAUUUGAGUAUGAUCACAAGUAGUUCAUAUUAUCAUAUAAAGUUUUUAAUUGCCAAAUUCAUCCACACAAUCCAACCAUUUGACCUUUUCUAAUUCACUAAUCUAAGUUACAAUAUGAAAUAAUCAUUUCAUAUGCAAAAAUUGACUCAACCUAGAUACAUGCUAUAUAACGAAUAAAAAGAGACUAUAGAAACAUUGCUGAGUUGGGGUCGCCUCUUGGAUGUUAAAAUCACUUCUCGGGACCUCGAUAUGAACCUAAACAUGCAUAAGGAAAAACAAACCAUACACUGAGUGAUAAUUCUCAGUGGUAUUUCCAUGAUUCAAGUCAAUAUAAUACGAAUUCAAUCAAUUGCAUACAUUCAAUCUCAAAUUCUAAUAUCAAUAAAUUCAUAUACAAUUCAAGCUAAUCCUCAACCACAUAUCAACAUAUAUAUAUGCCAUAAAGUGUACCAACAAUGUCAAAUGGAUACAUUGCAUUAAUUAAGAAACUAUAUGAACAUAUCAUACCAAUGUCAUUAGUGUUUAUAUUUCCAUACAAUAUAAGACAUUCUGAAUCAAAUUAAUUCAUUUGCUAACUUUCCAAAUCGGCCUUCAGGCUCAUUUAACCAGUUCACAUGGUCUUUCACAUGCUAUCGAUAAUCAUAUAUUGUAUAUAUGUACCUAUAGUACAACUUCAUAACAUGGAAUCAUUUCGAGUAUCAUUUAACCAUUUCACAAUUUAUAUCCCCCAUUAACAUGACUUGGACUCGAACGGAUACACGAACCCCAACCAACACAAACGUUUGAACGCUCAUCGACAUGUAUUUGAAGUAACUCGUACUCAAUCUAUCCUAUGACAUGCCAACUAUAUCUGAAUCUACCCGAAUAGUUAAUAAGGUAAUAAAUUUUCCAAUUUCAACAUAUAAUUUAAUUCACAUUACAUUAUUCUCAAUUCAUCAUCAAUUCAUCAUAUAACAUAUCAUAUUUCAACUUAAUUCCACACCAAAUAUCAUAUGUGCAUUAAUUCAUACAAUUAUCUAUUCUAUUCAAUUUAGUCCAUUACAUCGAUAUUCAAUCUCAAACAUAGAAAUUUCAUUCAAAUAAUCAUUAUCAACUCAUUUCAAUGUUAUAUUGUGCAAAAUAUCACAAUAUGCAACAUUUAAAUUGAUCCUAAAUUAUAGAAAUACAAACUGAAAGCUCGUGUCACUCGUAGUCAGCUCUUGCUUUUCCUUUCCCUCUCGACGAACUGACAUCAUCUUAGCUAUUUAUAAUGAUUCAAAAAUAACACAGUAUCAAAUUCCAUCCAAAUCACCUUCUAAUACAAAGUUAAACAUAUUUUUUAAUUUAUUCAAUUAAGCCCCUAAACUCGAGACAAACAUAACUUUCAAUCUAGAGCUUUUACUUUCUAUUCCUAUCGAAAUUUCAUAAUAGUUUUUUAUUUUAUUCAAUUUAGUCCCUAAUGUACGAAACUAACAAUUAAGCUUUACAAUUUAAUCAUUUCCAUAAACUAAGCUUAAUUUAUAUCAAUUUCACACCUAUUUCAUCCAAUUCUCAACAAUGGAAACUUAUUAAAACUUCAACAAUUGAACAAGUUGAUACAUGGGCUAGCUAAAUCAAGCUCCCAUAAUCAUAAAUCUAAAAAAAUUACAUGAAAAAUGGCUUGGUUACCUCAGGAUUUUAGCUUGGCCGAAUCUUUAGUCUUCAACUAUGUUGUUUUCCUUUCUCUUUUUCUUUCUCAAGUGGAUAGUAUGGACUAAGGAGGAAGAUGAUGUUAACAUCUGCCACUAACUUAAUAAAUAUACUAAUGUUUAUGGUUAA